AUACGUAGGGAGCGAGCGUUGUCCGGAAUUACUGGGUGUAAAGGGAGCGUAGGCGGGAGUGCAAGUCAGAUGUGAAAUACAUGGGCUCAACCCAUGGGCUGCAUUUGAAACUGCAUUUCUUGAGUGAAGUAGAGGUAAGCGGAAUUCCUGGUGUAGCGGUGAAAUGCGUAGAUAUCAGGAGGAACACCGGUGGCGAAGGCGGCUUACUGGGCUUUUACUGACGCUGAGGCUCGAAAGCGUGGGGAGCAAACAGGAUUAGAUACCCUGGUAGUCCACGCUGUAAACGAUGAUUACUAGGUGUGGGGGGACUGACCCCUUCCGUGCCGAAGUUAACACAAUAAGUAAUCCACCUGGGGAGUACGGCCGCAAGGGUGAAACUCAAAUGAAUUGACGGGG
rnacentral:rRNA from 1 species